rnacentral:misc_RNA from 1 species
AAGUCGUAACAAGGUUUCCGUAGGUGAACCUGCGGAAGGAUCAUUACAAAUCCGAAUAUUUACGAUGCGAUGGUGGAAGAUUUUCCACUUCGCAUUACAUUACCUAUUGACACUUGUAUUUUACUAAUCUAAUCAAGAAUACCUUUUAACAAUGGAUCUCUUGGCUCUU